CCACUACAUAUGUCUGACAAUAUUCUAAUAUUAAUUCAUCUGCCACUCUAUCUUAAUCUUUUUUUUAUACAAUUUCUCACUGUAACCACUUCUGUUUACCAAUUCUUUUAUAAUUAUUAUCUCACAACAAUCUCUAUACCUUAUGCCGAACCACCUUCCUUGUAAAUCCAACCAUUUCAUUUUCUUCUCUUCUUCCUGCUUUCUUUUUUUAGCUCAUCUUUUCUUGUCCUUUCUCUCAUUUUUUCUCUAUAUAUCUCCCUCUUUUUCUAUUUUUCUUCAUAUAGUCAAAGACCAUGGAAGACUCUCCUGCUGCUUAUAUCCACUUGGCGAGUCUUUUUUUUAUAAUUUAAUUUUAAUCCCUUUUUUCUUCAAUAUUGUUUAUGAUUAUAAUUUAUAAGUAAUUUUUUAAUAUGUAUAUAGGUGCACCGUUUGAUAGAAGAGUGUAUGUUAUUCAACAUGAGCCAAGAAGAAUGCAUGGAAGCUCUUUCCAAGCAUGCAAAUAUCAAACCAGUUAUCACCUCCACCGUUUGGAAAGAGUUAGAGAAAGAGAAUAAGGAGUUCUUUGAGGCAUAUUUGAAGAACAGAGUAGAGAGAGCUUCAGAGACAGAGACGAGGCAAAGGAUACAAAACAUGGUUUUGGAUUCUUCUAAAUAACAAGUUUAGAUGAUUUCAUACGCAAAUUAAUAAGGUUAGUUUAGGCGUUUUCAAUUAAUUGAAGUUUGAAGAAGUUAGUUGUCUAUGUAUGAUAAUAACAUAACAUGAUUAACAUCACAAUCAUGUAAUAGUAAAAACCGUGACAGGGACAAAAAUGGCUUCAUUUGAUUUGUCUCAAGGUAUACAAAGUUGAAGUCAGUACUCUACAGUGAUGGUUAUGUGUGACAUGGCAUACAUGUGUUAUUGUACUUGAUAAAAAUUUGAAACAUGUGUGUUAGACUAUGUGUACAUGUAAAUAAAAUUAAGGUUUUUUCUUUA